UGAGAAAGUGGGACCACCAGUAACCAGGGUGUUUAAGAUGUGGAAAGGUGAAGUGCCCUCAGAAAAGAUAAAUCUUCUAAAGGAGGUUUAUGGUGAUAUGUUUGACAUACCAAUGCUAGUUAGCAAACUUUGUUUUAUUUACAGAGAUAAAGACUUUCACCGUGAUUCAUGCGAUGAACUAUUGAAAUAUAUUUUUCAGUUCCAUCUUCAAUCUAGUAUUCCAGAAGUUGUAAAACUGUUAAAGAUAAAUGGGGUUUUGUCAAUUACAAGUGCUUCAGUUGAGAGGUCA